GCUCACGUAGCUCAGUAGGCAGAGCGUCACCUUGGUAAGGUGGAGGUCGACGGUUCGAUCCCGUUCGUGAGCUCCA
rnacentral:tRNA from 1 species